AUUGAACGCUGGCGGCAUGCCUUACACAUGCAAGUCGAACGGCAGCACGGGUGCUUGCACCUGGUGGCGAGUGGCGAGCGGGUGAGUAAUACAUUGGAACGUACCUUAUCGUGGGGGAUAACGCAGCGAAAGCUGCGCUAAUACCGCAUACGCCCUGAGGGGGAAAGCGGGGGAUCGCAAGACCUCGCGCGAUUAGAGCGGCCGAUGCCUGAUUAGCUUGUUGGUGGGGUAAAAGCCCACCAAGGCGACGAUCAGUAGCUGGUCUGAGAGGACGAUCAGCCACACUGGGACUGAGACACGGCCCAGACUCCUACGGGAGGCAGCAGUGGGGAAUUUUGGACAAUGGGGGCAACCCUGAUCCAGCAAUGCCGCGUGAGUGAAGAAGGCCUUCGGGUUGUAAAGCUCUUUUGUCAGGGAAGAAACACCGGCUCUAACACAGUCCGGGAAUGACGGUACCUGAAGAAUAAGCACCGGCUAACUACGUGCCAGCAGCCGCCGUAA
rnacentral:rRNA from 1 species